rnacentral:rRNA from 1 species
AACGAACGCUGGCGGCAGGCCUAAAACAUGCAAGUCGAACGAACCUUCGGGUUAGUGGCGCACGGGUGAGUAACGCGUGGGAAUGUGCCUCUGGGUGCGGAACAACGUCGGGAAACUGACGCUAAUACCGCAUAAUGUCUACGGACCAAAGAUUUAUCGCCCAGAGAUCAGCCCGCGUCUGAUUAGCUAGUUGGUGAGGUAACGGCUCACCAAGGCUACGAUCAGUAGCUGGUCUGAGAGGAUGAUCAGCCACACUGGAACUGAGACACGGUCCAGACUCCUACGGGAGGCAGCAGUUAGGAAUAUUGGACAAUGGGGGAAACCCUGAUCCAGCCAUGCCGCGUGUGUGAAGAAGGCCUUAGGGUUGUAAAGCACUUUCGGCUGUGAAGAUAAUGACAGUAGCAGAAGAAGAAGCUCCGGCUAAAUUCGUG